UGGGGAAUAUUGGACAAUGGGCGAAAGCCUGAUCCAGCCAUGCCGCGUGAGUGAUGAAGGCCCUAGGGUUGUAAAGCUCUUUUGUGCGGGAAGAUAAUGACGGUACCGCAAGAAUAAGCCCCGGCUAACUUCGUGCCAGCAGCCGCGGUAAUACGAAGGGGGCUAGCGUUGCUCGGAAUCACUGGGCGUAAAGGGUGCGUAGGCGGGUUUCUAAGUCAGAGGUGAAAGCCUGGAGCUCAACUCCAGAACUGCCUUUGAUACUGGAAGUCUUGAGUAUGGGAGAGGAGAGUGGAACUGCGAGUGUAGAGGUGAAAUUCGGAGAUAUUCGCAAGAACACCAGUGGCGAAGGCGUCUCACUGGCCCAUAACUGACGCUGAGGCACGAAAGCGUGGGGAGCAAGC
rnacentral:rRNA from 1 species